AUUGAACGCUGGCGGCAUGCCUUACACAUGCAAGUCGAACGGCAGCACGGGAGCAAUCCUGGUGGCGAGUGGCGAACGGGUGAGUAAUAUAUCGGAACGUGCCCAGUCGUGGGGGAUAACGUAGCGAAAGCUACGCUAAUACCGCAUACGAUCUAUGGAUGAAAGCGGGGGAUCGCAAGACCUCGCGCGAUUGGAGCGGCCGAUAUCAGAUUGGGUAGUUGGUGAGGUAAAGGCUCACCAAGCCGACGAUCUGUAGCUGGUCUGAGAGGACGACCAGCCACACUGGGACUGAGACACGGCCCAGACUCCUACGGGAGGCAGCAGUGGGGAAUUUUGGACAAUGGGCGCAAGCCUGAUCCAGCAAUGCCGCGUGCAGGAUGAAGGCC
rnacentral:rRNA from 1 species